UAAGCCCUGCGAGUCGAACGAGUUUAGGCUCGUGGCGUACGGCUCAGUAACACGUGGAUAACCUACCCUUAGGACCGGGAUAACCUUGGGAAACUGAGGACAAUACUGGAUAGGCAAUUUUUCCUGUAAUGGUUUUUUGUUUAAAUGUUUUUUCGCCUAAGGAUGGGUCUGCGGCCGAUUAGGUAGUUGGUUAGGUAAUGGCUUACCAAGCCGUUGAUCGGUACGGGUUGUGAGAGCAAGCGCCCGGAGAUGGAACCUGAGACAAGGUUCCAGGCCCUACGGGGUGCAGCAGGCGCGAAACCUCCGCAAUGUGAGAAAUCGCGACGGGGGGAUCCCAAGUGCCAUUCUUAACGGGAUGGCUUUUCAUUAGUGUAAAAAGCUUUUGGAAUAAGAGCUGGGCAAGACCGGUGCCAGCCGCCGCGGUAACACCGGCAGCUCUAGUGGUAGCAAUUUUUAUUGGGCCUAAAGCGUCCGUAGCCGGUUUAAUAAGUCUCUGGUGAAAUCCUGUAGCUUAACUGUGGGAAUUGCUGGAGAUACUAUUAGACUUGAGACCGGGAGAGGUUAGAGGUACUCCCAGGGUAGAGGUGAAAUUCUGUAAUCCUGGGAGGACCGCCUGUUGCGAAGGCGUCUAACUGGAACGGUUCUGACGGUGAGGGACGAAAGUUAGGGGCGCGAACCGGAUUAGAUACCCGGGUAGUCCUAACUGUAAACGAUGCGGACUUGGUGUUGGGGUGGCUUUGAGCUGCUCCAGUGCCGAAGGGAAGCUGUUAAGUCCGCCGCCUGGGAAGUACGGUCGCAAGACUGAAACUUAAAGGAAUUGGCGGGGGAGCACCACAACGCGUGGAGCCUGGCGGUUUAAUUGGAUUCAACGCCGGACAUCUCCCCAGUAGCGACAGCUGUAUGAUAGCCAGGUUGAUGACUUUGCUUGACAGCUGAGAGGUGGUGCAUGGCCAUC
rnacentral:rRNA from 1 species